GGCGAGGUAGCUCAGGUGGUUAGAGCGUCGGAUUCAUAACCCGGAGGUCGGGAGUUCGAGUCUCCCCCUCGCUA
rnacentral:tRNA from 1 species